rnacentral:lncRNA from 1 species
UUCUAGAAAGUUUCCAGAAUCUUCUUCUUCUUAACUAAAAUAAAAAAAACAAAUUCAAAUCUUCAACCCCACAAUCCCAAAUACUCGAUUCAGAUCCAGAUUUCAACAUAUGUUCAAGAUUUUCACUUGGGGUUCUUGAACAUGAACAAAUUCUGAUGUGGGUAAUGGAUGUAUUGGGUGUGUUAAAUGGGUAAUGGGGUGGGUUAAACGGAUAUUUGAAAUUUGGGUUAAAUAUUUGGUCAACCCGGAUUGAGGUGUAAGAUUGUGCCACGUGUACAAAAUGAGUCUUCCGUUAGUGAGAGGGGCAAAUGUGCACUAGUUAUUGGACGGUGAGGGCACUAAUGGACGAAAAGUAUGACGGAGGGUAUUUACAUACCAUUUUCGAAAGUUCGGGGGUAUAUUGUCCAUUUUCCCCUUUUUAAUUAGUAAUAGUAAUAGAACCCUCAGGGGUUGGCCUGCUGGCAAUUGACUUGAGCCUUGGGGUUUGCUCCCUUUCAAGGUCUCAAGUUCGAAACCCACUAGGUGCAAACAAUUUCUGAGGGCCAUCGGACUGGGUAAAACCUGAAUUAACCGUGGUGCACUUGCGGGAAACUCCUUGCCGAGGGCCUGUGCACCCCCGGGAUUAGUCGGGGCUCAAAGAGACUCGGACACCCGGUGCAAAUCAAAAAAAAAUU